UACGUAGGGUGCGAGCGUUAAUCGGAAUUACUGGGCGUAAAGCGUGCGCAGGCGGUUUUCCAAGUCAGAUGUGAAAUCCCCGGGCUCAACCUGGGAAUGGCAUUUGUGACUGGAAGGCUAGAGUGUGUCAGAGGGGGGUAGAAUUCCACGUGUAGCAGUGAAAUGCGUAGAGAUGUGGAGGAAUACCGAUGGCGAAGGCAGAACUCUGGGCCGUAACUGACGCUGAGGAGCGAAAGCGUGGGGAGCGAACAGG
rnacentral:rRNA from 1 species